GUAGGUGGCAAGCGUUGUCCGGGAAUUAUUGGGGCGUAAAGCGCGCGCAGGCGGUUCUUUAAGUCUGAUGUGAAAGCCCACGGGCUCAACCGUGGAGGGUCAUUGGAAACUGGAGAACUUGAGUACAGAAGAGGAAAGCGGAAUUCCACGUGUAGCGGUGAAAUGCGUAGAGAUGUGGAGGAACACCAGUGGCGAAGGCGGCUUUCUGGUCUGUAACUGACGCUGAGGCGCGAAAGCGUGGGAGCAAACAGGAUUAGAUACCCUGGUAGUCCACGCCGUAAACGAUGAGUGCUAAGUGUUAGGGGGUUUCCGCCCCUUAGUGCUGCAGCUAACGCAUUAAGCACUCCGCCUGGGGAGUACGGCCGCAAAGGCUG
rnacentral:rRNA from 1 species